GAAUCCCGUAUAUGGCACGGACUCCCGUUGCUCUGUGAUACGCUCUCAACGAGUCGAGUUGUUUGGGAAUGCAGCUCUAAAUGGGUGGUAAAUGCCAUCUAAAGCUAAAUAUUGGCGAGAGACCGAUAGCGAACAAGUACCGUGAGGGAAAGAUGAAAAGCACUUUGGAAAGAGAGUGAAACAGUACGUGAAAUUGUUGAAAGGGAAACGCUUGAAGUCAGUCGCGCCGUUCGGGAUUCAGCCUUGCUUCUGCUCGGUUUACUUCCCGUUGGGUGGGUCAACAUCAGUUUCGGUCGGAGGAGAAAGACUUGGGGAAGGUAGCAGCAUUCGUGCUGUGUUAUAGCCCCUUGUUGUAUACUUCGAUUGGGACUGAGGACCGCAGCACGCCUUUGGCCGGGGUUCGCCCACGUACGUGCUUAGGAUGUUGGCAUAAUGGCUUUAAGCGACCCGUCUUGAAACACGGACCAAGGAGUCUAACAUGUGCGCGAGUGUUUGGGUGUUAAACUCGGACGCGAAAUGAAAGUGAAAGGUUGGGAACACUUAUGUGUGCACCAACGCCCGGAGCUGACCUUCUGUGACGCAUCUGCGGUAGAGCGUAUAUGUUGGGACCCGAAAGAUGGUGAACUAUGCCUGAAUAGGGUGAAGCCAGAGGAAACUCUGGUGGAGGCUCGUAGCGAUUCUGACGUGCAAAUCGAUCGUCAAAUUUGGGUAUAGGGGCGAAAGACUAAUCGAACCAUCUAGUAGCUGGUUCCUGCC
rnacentral:rRNA from 1 species